rnacentral:rRNA from 1 species
GAUGAACGCUGGCGGCGUGCCUAAUACAUGCAAGUCGAGCGAACAGAUGAGGAGCUUGCUCCUCUGACGUUAGCGGCGGACGGGUGAGUAACACGUGGAUAACCUACCUAUAAGACUAGGAUAACUUCGGGAAACCGGAGCUAAUACCGGAUAAUAUAUUGAACCGCAUGGUUCAAUAGUGAAAGACGGUUUUGCUGUCACUUAUAGAUGGAUCCGCGCCGCAUUAGCUAGUGGGUAAGGUAACGGCUUACCAAGGCAACGAUGCGUAGCCGACCUGAGAGGAGGAUCGGCCACACUGGAACUGAGACACGGUCCAGACUCCUACGGGAGGCAGCAGUGGGGAAUCUUGGACAAUGGGCGAAAGCCUGAUGCAGCAACACCGCGUGGGUGAAGAAGGCCUUCGGAUUGUAAAGCUCUUUUGUUGGGAAAGAAAAGCAGCAGAUUAAUACCCCGCUGUUCUGACGGUACCUAAAGAAAAAGCACCGGCUAACUUCGUG